UACGGAGGGGGCUAGCGUUGUUCGGAAUUACUGGGCGUAAAGCGCACGUAGGCGGCUUUGCAAGUUAGAGGUGAAAGCCCGGGGCUCAACUCCGGAAUUGCCUUUAAAACUGCAUCGCUAGAAUUGUGGAGAGGUAAGUGGAAUUCCGAGUGUAGAGGUGAAAUUCGUAGAUAUUCGGAAGAACACCAGUGGCGAAGGCGGGUCUCUGGGCCGAAACUGGCGCUGAGGAGCGAAAGCGUGGGGAGCAAACAGG
rnacentral:rRNA from 1 species